rnacentral:rRNA from 1 species
CCCGGUGGAACUAAGCAUAUCAAUAAGCGGAGGAAAAGAAACCAACAGGGAUUGCCCUAGUAACGGCGAGUGAAGCGGCAACAGCUCAAAUUUGAAAUCUGGCCCUCUCGGGGGCCCGAGUUGUAAUUUGCAGAGGGUGCUUUGGCGUCGGCUGUGGUCUAAGUUCCUUGGAACAGGACGUCGCAGAGGGUGAGAAUCCCGUAUGUGGCCGCCAGCCUUCGCCGUGUAAAGCCCCUUCGACGAGUCGAGUUGUUUGGGAAUGCAGCUCUAAAUGGGAGGUAAAUUUCUUCUAAAGCUAAAUAUCUGCCAGAGACCGAUAGCGCACAAGUAGAGUGAUCGAAAGAUGAAAAGCACUUUGGAAAGAGAGUCAAAAAGCACGUGAAAUUGUUGAAAGGGAAGCGCUUGCAGUUAGACAUGCCUUUAGUUGCUCAGCCGGGCUCUUUGGCCCGGUGCACUCUUCUAUCGGCAGGCCAGCAUCAGUCUGGGCGGUCGGAUAAAGGCCUAUUAAACGUGACUCCCCUCGGGGAGAGCUUAUAGGGUAGGCGCCAUGCGACCAGCCUGGACUGAGGUCCGCGCAUCUGCUAGGAUGCUGGCGUAAUAGCUGCAAGCGGCCCGUCUUGAAACACGGACCAAGGAGUCUAACAUCUAUGCGAGUGUUUGGGUGUCAAGCCCGGGCGCGUAAUGAAAGUGAACGGAGGUGGGAUCCCCCCGGGGUGCACCAUCGACCGAUCCUGAUGUCUUCGGAUGGAUUUGAGUAAGAGCAUAGCUGUUGGGACCCGAAAGAUGGUGAACUAUGCCUGAAUAGGGUGAAGCCAGAGGAAACUCUGGUGGAGGCUCGCAGCGGUUCUGACGUGCAAAUCGAUCGUCAAAUUUGGGCAUAGGGGCGAAAGACUAAUCGAACUAUCUAGUAGCUGGUUCCUGCCGAA